GCCUACGUAGAUCAAUGGUAGAUCGCCCCGAACUCAUGGCCCAGAGAUAUUGAGGUAUAUCGGGGAAACGGAGGUUCGAUUCCUUCUGUGGGCG